rnacentral:rRNA from 1 species
AGCUCCAAUAGCGUAUAUUAAAGUUGCUGCAGUUAAAAAGCUCGUAGUUGCAUUUCCGAGGCAAGGGAUUAGUCCGACCUUUGGUGGGUAUUUAAUCCUCUUGCCUCGUCCUUGAGUGGUGCUUCUUGGUAUUAAGUUAUCGAGGAGAUAGCCGCUCAUCGUUUACUGUGAGAAAAUUAGAGUGUUCAAAGCAGGCUUAUGCCGUUGAAUAUAUUAGCAUGGAAUAAUAAGAUAGGACCUCGGUACUAUUUUGUUGGUUUUAGAACCAAGGUAAUGAUGAAUAGGGACAGUUGGGGGUAUUCGUAUUCAGUUGUCAGAGGUGAAAUUCUUAGAUUUACUGAAGACGAACUACUGCGAAAGCAUUUACCAAGGAUGUUUUCA